GCUAUUUCUUUUUAUACGGUGAAAUGACAUGCCGGUUCCAUGAUAUAUGACAUGUCAUAUAGGUGUGUGACAAGUGAAAGGAUGCACUUCAGCUUUGCUGCAAUUUGCAAAGACAACAAACAUCCCCGUUCUUUUGGAAGAAAGAUCACCCAAUGCAGUGCAAGAGAAAGGUUUUAAUUUUGAUGAUACUAGGAUUAUGAGAGGAGCAUGGAGGAAUGAGUCUAAUCCUGAUAUCUGCAAGUUAAAUAGGAGUUCUUCAGAUGCCUUGCUAUACAUCAACAAAUGCACAGAUGCACAGAAAUACGACUCUUCCUAUUUUAAGGGUUUACUAAAAUAGAUGAUUCUCCUCAUAUUUUAUACAUAAUAAUAAAAAGGAGGAUGAUGCAGAAAACAUGUCUAUCUUGCCCAGCAGUAUCUCAGCAAAUCAACCAACGAUGAUUGCGAACAUAGAUACUAAUGUAGAUAACCUACAAUUUUGAAGAAGCAAGUAUGCAGUUUAAUACAUUUACCUUAUUGUAUCAACUGCCAAGUCUUAGGUGGUGUUUAUAUGUAUUUUUCAUUUUUUUUAAUUUUCAAUGUGCAAUAAGAAAGAUGUAUAAUGUAUAAUGAAUUUUAUAAAAGUAGGAUCACAUUUGU